AGAGUUUGAUCCUGGCUCACGAUGAACGCUAGCGGCAGGCCUAAUACAUGCAAGUCGAACGGUGUCUUCGGACAUAGUGGCGCACGGGUGCGUAACACGUAUGCACUACACCUACCUUACAUUGGGGGAUAGCCUUUCGAAAGGGAGAUUAAUACCGCAUAAGACAGUAGCUGGGCAUCCAGCAGCUGUUAAAGAUUUAUCGAUGUAAGCUGGGCAUGCGUCCAAUUAGCUAGUUGGUGAGGUAAUGGCUCACCAAGGCUGUGAUUGGUAGGGGAACUGAGAGGUCAAUCCCCCACACUGGCACUGAGAUACGGGCCAGACUCCUACGGGAGGCAGCAGUAGGGAAUAUUGGGCAAUGGACGCAAGUCUGACCCAGCCAUGCCGCGUGCAGGAUGAAGGCGUUACGCGUUGUAAACUGCUUUUAUACAGGAAGAAACGACUCUUGCGAGAGGCAUUGACGGUACUGUAUGAAUAAGCACCGGCUAACUCCGUGCCAGCAGCCGCGGUAAUACGGAGGGUGCAAGCGUUGUCCGGAUUUAUUGGGUUUAAAGGGUGCGCAGGUGGUUUAUUAAGUCAGUGGUGAAAGACGGUCGCUCAACGAUUGCAGUGCCAUUGAAACUGGUAGACUUGAGUAAAGUAGAGGUGGGCGGAAUUGAUAGUGUAGCGGUGAAAUGCAUAGAUAUUAUCAAGAACUCCAAUUGCGUAGGCAGCUCACUUGGCUUUUACUGACACUCAUGCACGAAAGUGUGGGUAUCAAACAGGAUUAGAUACCCUGGUAGUCCACACUGUAAACGAU
rnacentral:rRNA from 1 species